UAGCACCAGCUCACAGAGAUAAGGAAACCUCCCUGAGAUAACAGCUGGGCAGCAGAGUCUAUGUUUCCAGUAGAAUACGGCUCGCCUUCUUCCAAGCCUCUGAAUUUAUGCACCUUAUUGGGAGCGGACCUGGUGACUCUCCUAACAGGACCCAGGAUAGUAGUCUCCUUCACCCUUAGCUGUCAGGUGUCAGGACUUAGCUCUGUCCAGUAAUGGAAGCAAGACUAUGUAGUUGCUGCUUCUACCUCCGAUGACACUCAGCUUCCUGUCAUGCCUGCUCAGGAUACCAGCCGCGCCUCAGCCCGUUAUUUGCACUGACAGACCCUCUGCUGAGUGACCCCACUACUUCACCACCAGAUUAAUUUGGUUGAGGACAGUAAAGCAUUUUGAGCCUACACUUCCAGAGACCCCCGUGGAAAGAAGAACCAUUGUUUAACUGUCCAUCGAAACAUGGAUAUCAGAAUGAUGCCUGAGUACCAGGAAGCAUGUUGGCCUCUGAAGAUAAUAUGGGAGCGUAUUAACCAUGCAUACAGUUCAGAUACUCCUCCUAUGGACUGGGGACUUCAAAAAGGGGACUACGGCAUCCAAUCCUGGGUUUUCCCAUCUAACAAUGAAAAAUACUCAGUGGUUUGGGAUUCUGGCUGCUCCUAUUGGAAGGUGAACACUCCAUUUGGACCAUGUUUAUUUUUUAUAGGACCUCUGUUCAUCAACAAAGAAAGGACGGGUCUAGCUGUACCCCCGUUAUUCAAUGUCAACGUGUCAGAUACAGAUACACUGAUGCCGGCCUCGCCUGUAAAGGUGGUAGCGCAAAUGCAAAAAAUUGUUCAAUUUGUGGUUAAGCCUUACAGCAACAAAGCAUCCUGAGAUACAACCUGUAUGUGUUCCAUAGUGAUUGCUGAUUACCCAUGUUUUAAGUCACAUUCAAACGUUUAGUUUAUUUAGAUAAGAUAUUUAAAUGAUUUCCAAGGCGUGGAGAUGUCACAUUUUAGUGGGGGGAGGGGUGGGAUUUCUAUCAUAGUAGGUGGCCGCAGACCCGUUUUGGAAAUGUUAAAUGUCUUAAUACAUACAUAGUUGGUGAGGUUGAAAAAAGACUGGUAGUCCAUCGAGUUCAACCUGAGUUAUAUUGCAUUCCCUAUUCUAUUUAGGUUAAAGGCUAUAUCCUCGUAUAACUUUUUCCGUUAAGAAUUUGUCUAACCCAUUUUUAAACGCAUUGACUGAGUCCGCCAUUACAACCUUCACUGGCAGUGUAUUCCAUAUUCUCAUUGCUCUUACAGUGAAGAAUCCCUUCCUGUGUUGAGUAUGAAAUUUCCUCUCCUCAAGCCUUAGAUUGAUUGUUGUAUAUUCACUGAGGGGGUGCUGAUUGGGGGUCUUUUAAUACAAUAAAUGGGAUGGAGAUGUCUUUUACUCCAAUAGUUCACCUUUUGUACAGGAACCGCAAAAGACAACAACAUUAAAACCGUGACAUCUACAUGGGUGCAAUAUGCAGAAGCUGAAUGUGCAAGGCCUGAGAUGUCCACUAUCAGCACUUGGGCAUGCAAUAACAUGGCCGGCUGUUCUAGACCAUCCACCAUCAACCCUUACACUAGCCCUAUGGCAGGUGCAGUUUCUCCGUCUGAACAUGGUCCCGGGUGGAAGCGGCUCUGCAUCUGUGAAUGCAGCCAUUUUUACUGACACUUUCAGGAGAUGGACUUCUUUUUUGCAUUGACUUUGUGCAUACAUUCGGGGUAAUGCAUGCGCCAUAUGGUUUUUUGCACAUGCUUAGUAUGUGAACUUUGGUAUUGGCCCAUAAUAUCAAUACAAGCCAUUCUCUUUAAAUGGAUCUUACAGCAACUAUGAGCUAUGAAAACUGGACCAGGCAUUGUGAAGGAAGAAUUCAUUGGACCUCCAUUACUGAUAAGGCCAAUAUGGUCAUGGUUGUCCGUGUUAUUACAUUACUUUCCAACAGCCUGGAGUUUGGUGGGACUGUCAAAAUUCAUGAGAGUAAAUUUACUAAUGGGCGGUUUGUCAAAGCCGCUGAUGAUCGGAGGUUGUCACUGAUCGGUUUUAAAACAGCAACAGUAAUACAUGAUAAAUCAGGCUGGUUACCAUUUACCACUGCUGCUGAUUUAGAACCAUCAGUCAGAGCCGCCAAUCAUUGGCUUAUUUGGCAAAUUGCAUCAUGGUAUAUCUGCUGCUUGGUUUUAUAUGGUUUUAUAAUAAUGGGUUCUCAGUUGGGGAGAGCUAGGUUUAGUAUGGGCGGAUUUGGGUGUACUUUGGGUGGACCAUGGGAAUUACAAUCUUUCCCGGUUUUGGGAAGUUGGGAGAUAUGGUUACCACAAUACAAUCAUGUAAUGCUCUUCUGUAUAGAGUUUGUAAAUGAGAAUAAGAAACACUUAUAUAAUGAGCAGUGCAGUAAGUAGUGGUGUGCACGUGGUGCCGUUGCACAGGGUUCUGACAGUGGUGCCGUCACAAUACACCGGUCUCCACAUCUGGCUAGCAGACAACCAGUAUCAUCACUGCAGUGCCACCUGGAGCGUCCUUUGGACACUACAGACAUUCUCCCCGCAGCCUGUAUAGCCCCAUGGUACAUGUGCAGUACGUUUCUUCUCUGCAGCUUGUGGCCAGAGCCGGCCUUAGGCAUAGGCAAACUAGGCAAAUGCCUAGGGCAUCUGGUAUGCUUAGGUGCACCAACAGCUUCUGCUGAUUAAAAUGAUAUGCGG